AACUCCGAACACCCAGAGAAGUGAUAGGCCUGCGAUGGCAGGGCUUUUCCUCACUCCAGUGCAGACUAGUAAUGGUAAUAUUCUUUUAUUUGGGCUUUAAAGAUAAAGUAGAAGAAAGGCACCACUUGUUCUGAUGCCUGGUGAAGCCACUGAAAGUUCUAGAAAAACAAGAAGCCUGGGAGGGACUGACCCCAAGAAGGUUGAAGGUGUCCAUAGCACUUCCGUUACCAGCAUCUCUCCUAGGAAGAUGCAAACCAGGCUCCAGGAGCACCAGCUCAGGAAACUCCAGCCAACAGGAUCACAACAAAGGCCACAAUAGUUAAAGAUGGAAUGGGACAAGUACACAGAAGGAUGAAAACUCAAGCAGGUGGCAAAUGAGCACAACAGCUGAGGGCUCCUAAGAGAGUCAUGGAAAACUGGAAAAGCUGAACAACCCUGUGGGGCCGCUAAUAAUCACCCCAAUCACCACUGACCAGCGGGGACGGGGAGACGUGGUGACCUGCCC